GGAAAUGACCUUACCCACUACACCAAGGGUAAUCAUGCUUGGAAAUAGCUUGAUGUCUGCAACCCGGUGGAUGGUCAGUAUGGAGGAGAAGGUAUUUUUCGAGCCUGAGCAACUACAUGACUUUGCCAGCGUCCUUGCUGUCUUUUUUGGGUCAUAUUCUGUCUUCAAUCUGGAGUAUCAGGAGUCAGCAUCCACCACACUGGAGAUGAUACAACGGUUCUGAUCUCUGUGAAGUAGAGAAUGGUCUCAGUGUCCUGCUGAUCCUCAGAGGUUGAAGCUGCAGCAGUUUGAGUCUAAAGAGACUCUGACUGGAUCAUGAUGAUGACCUCUGACCUCCAAAGUUUUCCUCCUGUUUAUUUUCUCGUGUCUGUCAUUUAGUGUCUGAUAUUGUUUGUCUCUUUGGAUCAAUAAAAUUCCAAUUCAAACUGGGCUCCAUUUAGAGGCU